rnacentral:rRNA from 1 species
AUUGAACGCUGGCGGCAGGCCUAACACAUGCAAGUCGAGCGGAUGAAGGGAGCUUGCUCCUGGAUUCAGCGGCGGACGGGUGAGUAAUGCCUAGGAAUCUGCCUGGCAGCGGGGGAUAACGUCCGGAAACGGGCGCUAAUACCGCAUACGUCCUGAGGGAGAAAGUGGGGGAUCUUCGGACCUCACGCUAUCAGACGAGCCUAGGUCGGAUUAGCUAGUUGGUGGGGUAAAGGCCUACCAAGGCGACGAUCCGUAACUGGUCUGAGAGGAUGAUCAGUCACACUGGAACUGAGACACGGUCCAGACUCCUACGGGAGGCAGCAGUGGGGAAUAUUGGACAAUGGGCGAAAGCCUGAUCCAGCCAUGCCGCGUGUGUGAAGAAGGUCUUCGGAUUGUAAAGCACUUUAAGUUGGGAGGAAGGGCAGUAAGUUAAUACCUUGCUGUUUUGACGUUACCAACAGAAUAAGCACCGGCUAACUUCGUG